rnacentral:lncRNA from 1 species
GCUUAUAUUUAUCUAUUUAUUUAUUUAUUUAUUUAUUGUUUUUAUGCUUUUAGUCUGUUAUUUUUUAUGAUCUUCAAGUGAUUUGCUGAUUCUCCCGUUUCAAUGCACAUAGAGGCGCUUGCCACAUGAACUUUGACUCUGGAGGCUCACGAAUCAAAUAGAUUUGCUUUCAUUAUAUUGCAUGUUUUUUCAUUUUUAUUUGGUAGUAUUUGCAUGAUACUGCAUGAUUUUUUAUGUGAUAGUCGGUUAAAGAGCUCACCAGAGCUCAUGUUUUGUCUGGUAUUAUGUAUAUAUAUGCCGACUCUAAAUAAAAUGUACUUACUUUACUUACUUACUUACUUACUUACGACGGGUGACACAUAUGGAGCAGAAUCUGCCUAGUCUUCCGGAGCACAUGAACUAAUCCCAGUUUUUGGUAGGGUUUGUUUUGUUUUGCUUAGUUUUUAGUUUUUUAUGUUGUCUUUUGUGUACUGUGGUUGUCUGUUUGUCUUUUUUUGUUUUUUAACCAAUGUAGCGUUGAUAGUUUAUUUUCGAUUAAUGAGUUUGAAUGUCCCUCUGGUAUCGUUCGCUUCUCUUCUAUAGAAAAUUCUGAGUAAUUAAGUCUUUCCUUGGUUAACACUUCGAAAUCACAUGUGUUCGAAAAAAAAUUACUUAGUAAAAAUUACUUUUCGUACUUAGUUUCCGCUAUAUUGCACCACUGACAAGUGGAUAAACUGUUUCGGCGGAUAAAGUUUGUCCGGGCAUACGGUCGAAACAAGUUAUUAAGCCACCGAACUAAGGUGUAUGUCUAUCUACAAAACAAUAGAUAUGCAUUGUACAUUAUUCCGGUUUAAGUAUCUGGGUGAAAUAGAAAAGAAAAAAACAUUUGGUUGAAAUCUAUUACCUUCCAAGUUUUACUAAAAUCCUGAAAUUGAAUCGAUUUGUGUCCGGCCAUGUGGACAUCGAUAACAAUUUUGGAAAAAGAUUUACCUGGUUUUUCAGUCGACAUGCAUGCAUAUAGUUACCGUUUACUACAGACAAUUGUCUAUGAAUGAAAACAGUAUAUUGCAUUGUAUAAAAUUACAGUAUUUAAUUGAAAUGUGAAGUUCAAAUUUCAAUAACUCUAGUACGACCCAUCUGCAUAAUUUUGUUAAGUCGAAUUAUAAUAGAAUUAUAAAAAAAUUAAUGAAUAUACCGAAAUCGAAAUUCAAUAUUACUUAGUUAACUACCGUUGCCUCUUAUUUAUAACUACACAUAUACUUUUGGUAUAAGAGAAACUACGCUUUGGAAGAAAAGUAUCUUCCAAAAACUGAUUGAUCAAUUCCUUUUUAAAAAAGAUGUCAAAAUCUGCUACAAUUGCAGUUUUGAAGCUACAACGAACGCUAUGAUCAAUCAUUAUUUGAUGAUGCGUUCUUAGUAAUUGUAUAAUCUGACAAUACAUCG